rnacentral:lncRNA from 1 species
UCCACACAGGAGAAUCGGGGUUCGAUUCCCAGCAGUGCCUCAAAAACAAACAAAAAGUUACAAAUAAGAAAUUCAGCACUCACCCUGAGGGAUCUGGGAAGGGACCUUGGAGGUUGAACUUGGCCUGCUUCCUGCAAACGCAUCUGUGUUAAUAGUGGAAGCUCCGUGGGGCUCCUGGGAGUAGGGACGGCGGCGGUGUCUUCUGCAUCUGGCACCUGGCUGGGGUGCGGCAGCUCUGACUCCCAGACUACAAGCUCAGGUGUGCAACAACCUCACUUUCUUCCCAACCUGCCUGAGGUUGUGACGCUGUGCCCCAGUUUCACGGAGCUGCCAAACAUCCUGUCUUCAGUCAUUGUGAAGCUCAAUCCAACUUGCCUCAGCCUCCCAGAUAGCUGGGAUGAUGGGCCUGUGCCAGCACGCCAGGCUUGGUGUCCCUUUCUGAAGGUUCUACCCAGCCUUCAGCUCUCCCCUGCUUCUGAGCUGUGUGUGGGACUUGGAGGGCUUGAGAGGAGUUUGAAGGGCCUGUACUGGGGUCCUGGGACCCUGUUCUAGGCUUCACCCGAGGUCCUGCUCUCUGAAGAUGGGCAGUGAGCCAGGGUGACUGAGAGCAUCGUGUUAUGUGCCAGACAGAAUCGGGUUCAAAUCCUGCCAGGUCUUGUUUUCCUACCUGAGAAUGAGGAGGAGGAUAGCAAUACCUCCCUCAAAGAACCGGUGUGAAAAAUCAAAUGUCACAAUGUUUGCAAAGAGCGUUGGCCUAGUGUCCCCCACAUAAUACAGAGAUGUGUUCACUGAGGUCCUCUCUGUACUCUUGUUCUACCAGACAGGGAAACCAAGGUCCCAGACACAGUGGCUGGCCAGAGCACAGUCCCCAUCCGACCUUCCUGUCAACAGCUAGGCACAGGCACAGAAAGUGCCAUCAUCUGACUUUCAUGUGACUCAAAACUGAAAGCAGGGGCUGUUUUUCUGUUUGUUUAUUUCUCCUGGCACUGGGUACCCAGGGGUGCUCUACCGCAGAGCUACAUCUGCAGCCCUUUCUAUUUUUAAUUUGGAGACAGGCUCUCACUAAGUUGCCGGUGUUGGCCUUGAACUUAGGAUUUCCUUUUCUCAGCCUUCCCAGUAACCGGGGUUGCAGGCCUGCGCCACAACACUUGGCGGCGGGAACAGGGGUUUUAAAUGACCAAAGAAGGUCCCCAAAGCACCCAAACCAGAUGAAAUGAUAGACCGACCCCUCUGAAGUAAAUAGGGAUGCGAUGUCAAAUGUAAAGAUUUUGUGUGAAAAAGGUUUUGUACGAAUGUUCAACCUAAUCCUAGGUCACUGCCCCACCCUGCUGUGCUCUCCGGCUGCAUCCACAGAUGGGCAGGGUGCAGGGUGCAGGGAGGUGACACUGGAGCACUGUGUUCACUUCUGGUUGAACACAACCUAUGUUUGAAGAGGCAGGGGAGAAGAGAGUCCAG